GACGAACGCUGGCGGCAUGCCUAACACAUGCAAGUCGAACGAGAAGUUCGGGCCUGGUGGCGCACGGGUGCGUAAAGCGGGGGAACCUGCGCUUAGGAUCUGCAUAACACCCCGAAAGAGGUGCUAAUAACGGAUAAUAUCUUCGGACCAUAGCUUUAUCGGCUUUGGAUGGGGCCGCGUUGGUUUGGUUUGGUGUAAGGGUAUAAGCUUGCCAAGGCGUCGAGCCGUAGUUGGUCUGUGAGGGUGCUCAGCCACACUGGGACUCGGACCCGGCCCCGACUCGUAGGGGCGGCAGCAGUGGGGACUAUAGGGCAAUGAGCGUGAUGCUGAGCCACCGCGGCCGCGUGGGCGAUGUAGGCCUUAGGGUCGUAUAUCUCUUGUGCCCGGGCUGAUAAUGACAGUACCUAGAUAAUAAGCUCCGGCUAACUCCGUG
rnacentral:rRNA from 1 species